rnacentral:rRNA from 1 species
AUGGGUGGGUUCUUCUCUGCUCAGAGAAAGGGAAGAAAGUCUGCCCUGGUCGGGGCGCCGUGGGAGCUGGUUGGAGCGGACGACACGGAGUGUGUUGACUCCGGCGCGCCUUCUUCUUCCCAGUUUCAAUUGUUUGUUCGCAUUGAUGGGCAACUUAUAUCCGUUCAAGUAACUCGUGAAUCUACCGUUGAAUCGGCCAUAUAUUCAGCACUCUCGCAAGGCAAGUAUAUUCUUUUCAAGUUCGGGGCUCAUUGUUGGGAUGCGGUUAAACAAAGAAGAUUGCUCUUGGAAGAAUCACUUGAAGGUGUUGUCCCUGGUUCUACAAUUACAACAUUCGCUGUGAUUCAUGGUGGUGGCCCCGGAAAGCCCUAUCUUCAACAGGACUAUAUGUCCUUUUUGGACCGGAUGAAUGAACUGCCGUCCAAAAAUGAAUGGCUCGAGACAAAGGGAUUAACAUCUGUGUUAAGUAAGCUGGGGAGACAGACAUUUCAAAAACUGUUUGAAAUGAUAUCCUUGUAUCACACGGGGAACAAGUGUUUUGCUGGUAAAUUUGAUUGUAACAAUAUCAUAUACGUACCAUCGACAGAUACUUACAUGAUUGAUCCCUAUGUGCAUGCGCUUGUUGUGGAUUUCACCCCUAGUGGAUAUAAGGAGGACAUUAAAGCUUUGGGUAAAGUACUUGAAAAGGUGUGCAUGAUGAAACUGGAUUCUUCACAAGCAAAGAUAGCUUAUGUUGCCCAUUUGCUGAAAACUAUGAGGGAAAUGCCAUCAGGUGCAGAGUCAUCUCAAACAUUCAAGGCGUUCAUCAGAAAUCACCCCUGCAUGAUGUCAUCCGCCAGUCGACAAGGACUUAUAUCGGAAGUGCAUAGAUACAUCAAGUUUCAGUAUGAUGAUUCAAUGGAACCUGUUCUACAAUCUCCAUAUACCUGGGGUUGGAUCGCUGAAUGUGAUCGUGACUUCAAUCCGGUAUACUUCUAUAAGUGGUGGCUAUGGCCACUGAGGGGGACUUCAUAUCAUGAGAACGAAUGGUCAUGGUUUUCCUUUUGCCGGAAUUUCCUUUCACAUCCUAUGCAAAAGAUGACCAUACAAGAUGCAGAUAUUGCCAUAUGGUGGUACUUUGAUGAGCAUUUAGCAGACUUCUUGUGCCGCCUUUCCUGCACACAUGAGUUUACAGUUAACAUCUUCGAUAAAGAUAGUUUUUGCACGCACCCUGCAAAGUGGGAAAGGUACCCGUACAUAUUAUACUAUGAAUCAGUCCCAAACCUAGAGUAUUCUACAGAAGAGUCGGAGUACGAGGAAGAAGAGUCGGAGUAUGGUGAAGAAGUGCCAAAUCAUUCUGAAGAAAAGCCAUCACCCAGCGAGAUUGGGCGGCCUGGGAUCGGAAAACGCAUCUUCAUAUGA